UAGUUGUUAAGUGGAAAUUUUGGUUAUAGUUAUGUAUAAGAUGAGUAUAGUGAGUGAAUAUUGUUAAAAAUUAAUAGUGAAGUAAGUACUGUGGGGGAAUAUUUUUAUUUAAUAAGAAUAUUAGGUUGUUAGUACCUUUUGUAUUAGGGUUCUUUAAUGUAAGUUAAUGGUUGUUUUGUUCUCGAAUAGUAUCGGGCUAUUAAAUUUGUUUUAUUUUCGUUGUAUAGAGAUGAUUAUAAUUUUAUAGUUAUGAAAUAUUAUUCAAGUUACUUGUUAUCUGGUUUUUUAAGAAGAAUAAUUUAUGGUAAUUUUAUUUUGAAAUUAGGCAGGGAUUAGCUUGUUUAUUUUUUGUAUAGUUUAUUUUUAUUUAUUUACGGGUUGAGUUAAAAGUUCUUAGUUUUAUGGUAUUAUUACAGGGUAAGAAAAAAUAAUUAUUUUUUUAUUUUGCGUUUUUAUUAAAAUUGUUGGUUUAAUUUAGUUACUAGUGAUAUAAUGAUGAUAUUAGUAAUAGAUAUUUUUUAUUUUUGGCUUGUAAUUAAAUUAUAGUGAUAAUUAGAGAAGUUAAUAAUUUAGGGUGAUGAAUUCGGCAACACACAUUUUGACUGUUUAGCAAAAACAUUGUUUUUUGUUGAAAUAAGAAAUAAUUUCUGUCCACUGCUAUGAGGUAAAGGGCUGCAGUAUUUUAACUGUAUGAAGGUAGCAUAAUCAUUAGUUCUUUAAUUAAGAACUGGUAUGAAGGUGAAACAGGGUGUGGCUGUGUUAUUUUAAUUUUAUGAAUUUUAUAGUUAUGUGAAAAAUCAUAAGUGGAUAAAUGGGACAAGAAGACCCUAAUAAGUUUUAUUUUUUAUUAGGAUGCAUAUAUAGGAUAUAUAAUUAGUGUAAUUUUUGGUUAGGAGUUUGGCUGGGGCGGCAAGUUUUAUAACUUAAUUUAUUUUUUAACAUUAUUGGAGUUUUGUUAGACCUAGAUAGUUUAGAUGAAUGGAAAAUUACUGUAGGGAUAACAGCGUAAUUUUUUUUAAGAGUUCUUAUUGACAGAAAAGUUUGCGACCUCGAUG
rnacentral:rRNA from 1 species